rnacentral:rRNA from 1 species
UGACCGCUGGCGGCGUGCCUAAUACAUGCACGUCGAGCGAACGGACGCGAAGCUUGCUUCUCUGAUGUUAGCGGCGGACGGGUGAGUAACACGUGGAUAACCUACCUAUAAGACUGGGAUAACUUCGGGAAACCGGAGCUAAUACCGGAUAAUAUUUUGAACCGCAUGGUUCAAAAGUGAAAGACGGUCUUGCUGUCACUUAUAGAUGGAUCCGCGCUGCAUUAGCUAGUUGGUAAGGUAACGGCUUACCAAGGCAACGAUGCAUAGCCGACCUGAGAGGGUGAUCGGCCACACUGGAACUGAGACACGGUCCAGACUCCUACGGGAGGCAGCAGUAGGGAAUCUUCCGCAAUGGGCGAAAGCCUGACGGAGCAACGCCGCGUGAGUGAUGAAGGUCUUCGGAUCGUAAAACUCUGUUAUUAGGGAAGAACAUAUGUGUAAGUAACUGUGCACAUCUUGACGGUACCUAAUCAGAAAGCCACGGCUAACUACGUG